rnacentral:rRNA from 1 species
UACGAAGGGGGCUAGCGUUGCUCGGAAUCACUGGGCGUAAAGCGCACGUAGGCGGCUUUCUAAGUCAGGGGUGAAAUCCUGGAGCUCAACUCCAGAACUGCCUUUGAUACUGGAGAGCUUGAGUCCGGAAGAGGUGAGUGGAACUCCGAGUGUAGAGGUGAAAUUCGUAGAUAUUCGGAAGAACACCAGUGGCGAAGGCGGCUCACUGGUCCGGUACUGGACGCUGAUGUGCAAAGCGUGGGGAGCAAACAGGG